GCAACUCUGGAGCACGUGCAGGAGUCGCCAUUUUCCUGGAAGAGCCGACAAAAUUGUUUAAAUUGAUAAGAAAUAUAUGUUGGUCCAUAAUCAGUUUUAAUUUUAGAAGGCGGUCCCAUAACAGCAGAAGUUUCCAAUAGAUGCUGUAUAACAUGAGCAGUGCGUACUCCUGGCAAUGGUGUAGCCCAUACAAAUUUUGAAAAAUUAUCUAUGCUUACAAGUAUAUAUGAAAGGCGACCAAACUCAGAAAUAUGGGUUCCAUCCAUCUGCCACGAUGUAUUAGGUUGCAUUCUUCUGGGAUUAAUUUCAGAUGGAAUACAUUUUAUAAGUGAAGGCUCACAAAUACGACAAUUAGCAAUAAUUUGUUUGGCUUCAGAAUAGGGAACCUUAUAUUUAAUAUGCAAAUAUCCUGUAUUGGCAUGAUUAUGACUGUUUUCUUCUGGGGUAGCAAAUGCCACUAAUUGAUCUACCAUAUGAUUGCCAUGUGUUAAAGAUGCUGGCAAUCUUGAAUGUAAUCUAAUAUUUGUAAUAAAUAUUCUAGAGUUUCAGAAUAACAAUAGUCCUUUAAUAUGUGAGAAUAACAUUUAAUAUCGGCUUAGAUGUAGAAACAACAGCAGUCGCAAUAUUCUGUACUACUACAACAUAAGCUGACUCGGCUUUAAUAUUUUUACAUCAUGAGUAAAAUCCUGCAAUACAUUAAUUACUUCUAAUACUUCAUUUUGUUGAACUGACCCAAAAGAAGAUUCUUGUCCCCAAAAUUUAUCUUUGGUCCAAUAAGCCAUCUGUCUUAGAUGUUUGGUCUUAGAGCCAUCUGUAAACACAGUAAGGGCAGAUGGUAAUGGAUCAACAGAAAUUAGUGUAUUUAUCACAUUUUUUUUUUGUUUUCUUAAGCAAUCCCAGAAUUUACUAUGGGGAAAAUGAAAUUCAGUAUUUCUAGUGUAAGAAAUCAUGGGUAAUUGAAAAACUUCAGACGUCUGCAUUAAAUAUUCCACUUUAUUUUUGCUUAAUGAGAAAACAAAAGCAGCACAAUCAUAUCCCCACAGUGUAACAGGUCUUUGUAUGCCUUGCUGAAUAAUUAAAGAAAUUUGUUCCUCAUAAUUUGUUAAUGUUUGGUUAAAGUUAUAUUUAAUAUAUAUAU
rnacentral:lncRNA from 1 species